rnacentral:misc_RNA from 2 species
ACACCUCAACUCUCAUGGCUUGCCAUGACGAGCUUGGACUUUGGGGGGUCUUGCUGGCCUAUGGUCGGCUCCUCUUAAAUUGAUCAGCUUGCCAGUGUUUGGUGGCAUCACAGGUGUGAUAACUAUCUACGCUUGUGGUUUUCCACCAGGUAACCUUCAGUGAUGGAGGUUCGCUGGAGCUCAUAAAUGUCUCUCCUCAGCGAGGACAGCUUUUUGAAC